rnacentral:rRNA from 1 species
CGCAUCUGUGCAUGCAGCAUAUCAAUAAGCGGAGGAAAAGAAACUAACAAGGAUUCCCCUAGUAACGGCGAGUGAAGCGGGAAGAGCUCAAAUUUGAAAUCUUAAAGGGUUUCCCUUUACGAAUUGUAGUUUAAAGAAGUGUUUUCUGUUGAGGUUUUGGUAAAAGUUCUUUGGAAUAGGACAUCAUAGAGGGUGAGAAUCCCGUAUUUGACCUUUACUUUCAACUUUGUGAUACACUUUCAAAGAGUCGGAUUGUUUGGGAAUGCAGUCCAAAAUGGGUGGUAAAUUUCAUCUAAAGCUAAAUAUUGGCGAGAGACCGAUAGCGAACAAGUACCGUGAGGGAAAGAUGAAAAGAACUUUGAAAAGAGAGUUAAACAGUACGUGAAAUUGUCAAAAGGGAAGCGUUUGACACCAGUGUUGUUUUUCUGAAAAUCAAUUAAAGAACUGUUUAUGCUAAGCUGUUUAGACUUUAUCAGCUAACUGUUUAGUUUUGAGCUUUUCUUUAAUGCACUUUUCAGUUAACAAGUCAACAUCAAUUUCUUUUGCUGUAAAAAAGCUUGAGGAAGGUGGCUUGAGAUUCGUCUUAAGUGUUUAUAGCCUCUUGCCUAUGCAGUCGGAGAGAUUGAGGUCUGCAGCGUAGAUCCUUCGGGGCUAAAUGCAUUUGUGCUUAGUUAUAGCAUUUUAUAGACAACUUGUUGACUAUGAUUUGUCUUGUAGCUUACUCGCUUAUGUUAUUUUACCUACGCUUAGGAUGUUGAAUCUGUGCGAGACUAC